GGGAGAAACGUAACGAACCCGGAAAAAAAAAAAAGAAAAGAGGGAGCGAGCGGAGCGCUGCGCGCAGCGAGCUUGGCGCGGUCUCCAUCCCGCAGCAGCCCCGAGGGCGAUGUUCCAGGCCAGCCGCCGGACCACCCUUCGCCACCGGCCCGAGGAGAGGCCGCGAGCAGCUGUAGCCGUUUCAGGCAUAUCAGGAACUCAAUAGGGACUUCUGAGAUACUAUGCACCAUUGAUUCUUCGCGGCCAACCUG
rnacentral:lncRNA from 1 species